UUUAAUAUGGCAGAAAAGUGCAUUGAAUUUAAGUUUCAAUAAUAAAGUUUUAUAUUAAACUUUUAUUAAAA